ACACAAUUGCCGCCUCUCACUCUCGAUCAGUCAAUCUCUCCCUCGCAUACUCUCACACUCUCAUGAACCUCAAUCCCUCAAUCCACCCUCAAUCCCUUUCACCCUCUCCAGUUCACACACACUCCCAUCCUCCUGCGAUUCCGGCAAAGCAUGUUUGGAUAGAAGCUUGAGGACUGAACCCCAACUCCAAAAU